rnacentral:rRNA from 1 species
GAUCAUUACAAGUUGACCCCGGCCCUCGGGCCAUGCUCGCUGAUGCCCUUUGUUGUCCGACUCUGUUGCGUCCGGGAUGCUCGCUGAUGCGGGCGGGGAUGCUCGCUGGACAUUUCAAACUCUUGCGUAACUUUGCAGUCUGAGUAAAUUUAAUUAAUAAAUUAAAACUAGAUGUGGCCCUCGCUGAUAGAUGAUGCUUCGCUGAUAGUUCCCCCUGGUAUUCCGGGGGGCAUGCCUGUUCGAGCGUCAUUUCACCACUCAAGCCUCGCUUGGUAUUGGGCGACGCGGUCCGCCGCGCGCCUCAAAUCGACCGGCUGGGUCUUUCGUCCCCUCAGCGUUGUGGAAACUAUUCGCUAAUGCCUCGUAGAGGAGGCCAUGCCGUAAAACAACCCCAUUUCUAAGGUUGACCUCGGAUCAGGUAGGGAUACCCGAUGCUCGCUGAUAUCAAUAAGCGGAGGAAAGGGCGAAUUAUGCUCCGCUGUAGAUGUCGAGCUCGUAGAUGAUAGUCGCUCGUAGAUGUCCGCGCGUAGAUGCUGCUCGUAGAUGCUCGG